UUUGGCCAUUUUGGGUUCAGACAAGAUGGGAGAACUGGAACUGUGGUACGUAGCUUUCUCCCCAUCAGCAAGCGGAGUGGCCCGAUAUGUCAUGAGGGCCAUGUAUGGGUCAGCGCAUUUUUUCAGGAGGUCCUUCACAGUUCUUACUGCUUUUUCAGCCUCCCCAUUGCAUUGCGGAUAUCUGGGGCUGGAGGUAGUGUGAACAAAACCCCACUCUGAGGCGAACUCUCGGAAGAGGUCUGCACUGAAUGUCUGCCAUUGUCACUCCAUACCUCCCGAGCAAUGCCAUGACAUGAUGUUUUCUUUAUUUUUUUUUUUUCUUCAGUUUUUUUUUUUUCCUUUUUUUUUGCCUGGCACCUCUGUCUGGAUGAGCUACUCUUAGUCUGGUCCCUCCCCCAGGACCUGUUUGCCUUGGGUAACCUUUCAGAGGCAUAAAGCCCUGACAACAUAGCUCCUGGGAUCAUUGGGACACACAAACCCCUCCACCACGGUAAGGUGGUAGCUCAAGGAGGGGAAAAAACCCUCACAUGGGAGGGAAAAACCCAAAAAGGGGUUUUUUUUCUGUGCAAAACACCCGGUUUAGGGUGUUUUUUUUUUCAGAAAUACUUUUCUUUUUUUUUUUGUUUCCUAUAGUUCUUUUUUAUUUUUCUGCCUGUUUUAAGUUUUUUUUUAUGAAAUACUAUUAUGUUUCUUUUUUUUUUUUUAGUUUUUUAUUUUUUUUUAAUUUCCUGCCUAUUUUAAGGGUUUUUUAUGUUUAAGUUUUCUUUUUCUGUUUUUCAGUUUUCUGCCUGCUUUAAGGGUGUUUUAAAUUUUAAAUGUAAUUAAAAAAUUUUAAAAAUAUUUGUUGAUUUGUGUUUUUGUUUUUUAUUUGUUUGUGUUUUUUUUUUUUAGAAAAAACUUAGUUAGUUUUUAGUUAGUUUUUUUUCCAGUUUUCUGCCUCUUUGAAGGGUUUUUUCUUUAGUUUUUUUUUUCAGUUUUCUGCCAUUUUUAAGGGUGUAUAUAUAUACUUCAAUAUCCACAUUGACAACACCAACCUGCCCCUCACUAGAGACUUCUCAUCAUGCCUGGACAGUUUUAGACUCCAUCAAGACUCCAAGUUAUUUUUUAGAAAUACUAUUCUUUUUCUUCUUUUUUAGUUUUCUUUAGUUUUUUUCUGCCUGUUUUAAUUUUUUUAAUUAUUUUUUAUAUAUAUAUUUAAAGUGUUUUUUUCAGAUAUACUUUUCUUUCGUUUUUUUAAUUUUGUUUAUACUAUCCUUUCUCUUUUUUUUAGUUUUCUUUAGUUUUUUCUGCCUGUUUAAAGUUUAUUUUAGUUUUUUUUGUUAUAUAUAUAUUUUUUUAAAGUGUUUUUUUCAGAUAAACUUUUCUUUCUGUUUCCUUUAAUUUUGUUAAUACUAUUAUUUCUCUUUUUUUAGUUUUCUUUAUUUUUUUUCUGCCUGUUUUAAGUUUUUUUUGUUUGUUUUUUUGUUAUAUAUAUAUAUAUAUAUAUAUAUAUAUAUAUAUAUAUAUAUAUAUAUAUAUAUAUAUAUAUAUUUAGGGUGUUUUUUUCAGAUAUACUAUUCUUUCUGUUUUUUUUGUUUUUCUUUAUACUAUUCUUUCUCCUUUUUUAGUUUUCUUUAGUUUUUUCUGCCUGUUCUAAGUAUUUUUUGUCUUUUUUUAUUUUUUUGAACUUUUUUUUAGAAAUACUAAUCUUCUUUUUAUUAUUUUUCUUUAUAUUUUUUCUGCCUGUUUUAAGUUUUUUUUUGUUAUUUAUAUAUAUUAAGGGUGUUCUUUUCUGAAAUACUUUUCCUUCUGUUUUUUUUAUUUUGUUUAUACUAUCCUUUCUCUUUUUUAGUUUUCUUUAGUUUUUUCUGCCUGUUUUAAGUUUUUUUUUAGUUUUUUCUAUAUAUUUAGGGUGUUUUUUUCUGAAAUACUAUUCCUUCUGUUUCUUUUUUAUUUUGUUUUUACUAUCAUUUCUCUUUUUUAGUUUUCUUUAGUUUUUUUUUCUGCCUGUUUUAAGUUUUUUUUAGUUUUUUGUUAUUUAUAUAUAUUUAGGGUGUUCUUUUCUGAAAUACUUUUCUUUCUGUUUUUUUAAUUUUGUUUAUACUAUCCUUUCUCUUUUUUUAGUUUUCUUUAGUUUUUUGUCUGCCUGUUUUAAGUUUUUUUAUUAGUUUUUUUAGUUCUUUUUAUUUAUAAUUAGGGUGUUUUUUUUAGUUUUUUUGAAGUUUUUUUGAAGUUUUUUUAGAAAUACUAAUCUUCUUGUUUUUAUUAGUUUUCUUUAGUUUUAUUCUGCCUGUUUUAAGUUUUUUUUUUUUUCUAUAUAUUUGGGGUGUUUUUUCUGAUAUACUUUUCUUUCUGUUUUUUUAAUUUUGUUUAUACUAUCCUUUCUCUUUUUUUAGUUUUCUUUAGUUUUUUGUCUGCCUGUUUUAAGUUUUUUGUAUUAGUUUUUUGAGUUCUUUUUGUUUUUUAUAAUUAGGGUGUUUUUUUUUCAGAAAUACUUUUCCUUCUGUUUUUUUUAUUUUGUUUACACUAUCCUUUCUCCUCUUUUUAGUUUACUUUAGUUUUUUCUGCCUGUUUUAAGUUUUUUUUUUAGUUUUUUAAAGUUUUUUUUAGAAAUACUAUUCUUUUUCUUCUUUUUUUUAGUUUUCUUUAGUUUUAUUCUGCCUGUUUUUAGGGGGUUUUUUCAGGUUAUUUUCAGUUUUUUUGUUAUUUAUAUAUAUAUAGGUUGUUCUUUUCUGAAAUACUUUUCCUUCUGUUUUUUUUAUUUUGUUUAUACUAUCCUUUCUAUCCUUCUAUCCUUUUUCCUAUCCUUUCUUUUGUUUUUUUUAGUUCUUUUUGUUAUAUAUAUUUAGGGUGUUUUUUUUCAGAAAUACUUUUCCUUCUGUUUUUUAAAUUUUGUAUACACUAUCCUUUCUCCUUUUUUUAGUUUACUUUAGUUUUUUUCUGCCUGUUUUAAGUUUUUUUUUUAGUUUUUUUAGUUUUUUAAAGUUUUUUUUAGAAAAUACUAUUCUUUUUCUUCUUUUUUAGUUUUCUUUAGUUUUAUUCUGCCUGUUUUUAAGGUUUUUUUUAGUUUUUUUUUCUUUUUUUAUUAUUUAUAUAUAUAUAGGUUGUUCUUUUCUGAAAUACUUUUCCUUCUGUUUUUUUAUUUUGUUUAUACUAUCCUUUCUCUUUUUUUAGUUUUCUUUAGUUUUUUUCUCCCUGUUUUAAUUUUUUAUUAGAAAAACUAUUCUUUUUCUUAUCUUGAAGACUUAAAAACAGGCAACUGGACUGUGUAGAGUUGAGAGUUGUUAUUUAUAAAUAUUAAGGGUUUUCCUUUCUGAAAUACUUUUCCUUCUGUUUUUUUAUUUUGUUUACACUAUCCUUUCUCUUUUUUAGUUUUCUUCAGUUUUUUCUGCCUGUUUUAAUUUUUUUUGUUUUUUCUAUAUAUUUAGGGUGUUUUUUCUGAUAUACUUUUCUUUCUGUUUUUUUAAUUUUGUUUAUACUAUCCUUUCUCUUUUUUUAGUUUUCUUUAGUUUUUUGUCUGCCUGUUUUAAGUUUUUUUUAUUAGUUUUUUUAGUUCUUUUUGUUAUAUAUAUUUAGGGUGUUUUUUUUCAGAAAUACUUUUCCUUCUGUUUUUUUAUUUUGUUUACACUAUCCUUUCUCCUUUUUUAGUUUUCUUUAGUUUUUUUCUGCCUGUUUUAAGUUUUUUUUUUAGUUUUUUAAAGUUUUUUUUAGAAAUACUAUUCUUUUUUUCUUUUUUUAGUUUUCUUUAGUUUUAUUCUGCCUGUUUUUAAGGGUUUUUUUCAGGUUUUUUUCAGUUUUUUUGUUAUUUAUAUAUAUAUAUAGGUUGUUCUUUUCUGAAAUACUUUUCCUUCUGUUUUUUUUAUUUUGUUUAUACUAUCCUUUCUAUCCUUCUAUCCUUUUUCCUAUCCUUUCUUUUGUUUUUUUUAGUUCUUUUUGUUAUAUAUAUUUAGGGUGUUUUUUUUCAGAAAUACUUUUCCUUCUGUUUUUUAAAUUUUGUAUACACUAUCCUUUCUCCUUUUUUUAGUUUACUUUAGUUUUUUUCUGCCUGUUUAAAUUUUUUUUUUUAGUUUUUUUAGUUUUUUAAAGUUUUUUUUAGAAAAUACUAUUCUUUUUCUUCUUUUUUAGUUUUCUUUAGUUUUAUUCUGCCUGUUUUUAAGGUUUUUUUUAGUUUUUUUUUCUUUUUUUAUUAUUUAUAUAUAUAUAGGUUGUUCUUUUCUGAAAUACUUUUCCUUCUUUUUUUUUAUUUUGUUUAUAAUAUCCUUUCUCUUUUUUUAGUUUUCUUUAGUUUUUUUCUCCCUGUUUUAAUUUUUUAUUAGAAAAACUAUUCUUUUUCUUAUCUUGAAGACUUAAAAACAGGCAACUGGACUGUGUAGAGUUGAGAGUUGUUAUUUAUAAAUAUUAAGGGUUUUCCUUUCUGAAAUACUUUUCCUUCUGUUUUUUUAUUUUGUUUAUACUAUCCUUUCUCUUUUUUAGUUUUCUUCAGUUUUUUUCUGCCUGUUUUAAUUUUUUUUGUUUUUUCUAUAUAUUUAGGGUGUUUUUUCUGAUAUACUUUUCUUUCUGUUUUUUUAAUUUUGUUUAUACUAUCCUUUCUCUUUUUUUAGUUUUCUUUAGUUUUUUGUCUGCCUGUUUUAAGUUUUUUUUAUUAGUUUUUUUAGUUCUUUUUGUUAUAUAUAUUUAGGGUGUUUUUUUUCAGAAAUAGUUUUCCUUCUGUUUUUUUAUUUUGUUUACACUAUCCUUUCUCCUCUUUUUAGUUCACUUUAGUUUUUUUCUGCCUGUUUUAAGUUUUUUUUUUAGUUUUUUAAAGUUUUUUUUAGAAAUACUAUUCUUUUUCUUUUUUUUUUAGUUUUCUUUAGUUUUAUUCUGCCUGUUUUUAAGGGGUUUUUUCAGGUUUUUUUCAGUUUUUUUGAAGUUUUUUUGAAGUUUUUUUAGAAAUACUAAUCUUCUUCUUGUUUUUAUUAGUUUUCUUUAGUUUUAUUCUGCCUGUUUUAAGUUUUUUUUUUUUCUAUAUAUUUGGGGUGUUUUUUCUGAUAUACUUUUCUUUCUGUUUUUUUAAUUUUGUUUAUACUAUCCUUUCUCUUUUUUUAGUUUUCUUUAGUUUUUUGUCUGCCUGUUUUAAGUUUUUUGUAUUAGUUUUUUGAGUUCUUUUUGUUUUUUAUAAUUAGGGUGUUUUUUUCAGAAAUACUUUUCCUUCUGUUUUUUUUAUUUUGUUUACACUAUCCUUUCUCCUCUUUUUAGUUUACUUUAGUUUUUUUCUGCCUGUUUUAAGUUUUUUUUUUAGUUUUUUAAAGUUUUUUAGAAAUACUAUUCUUUUUCUUCUUUUUUUAGUUUUCUUUAGUUUUAUUCUGCCUGUUUUUAAGGGGUUUUUUCAGGUUUUUUUCAGUUUUUUUGUUAUUUAUAUAUAUAUAGGUUGUUCUUUUCUGAAAUACUUUUCCUUCUGUUUUUUUAUUUUGUUUAUACUAUCCUUUCUAUCCUUCUAUCCUUUAUCCUAUCCUUUCUUUUGUUUUUUUUAAUUCUAUUUGUUAUAUAUAUUUAGGGUGUUUUUUUUCAGAAAUACUUUUCCUUCUGUUUUUUAAAUUUUGUAUACACUAUCCUUUCUCCUUUUUUUAGUUUACUUUAGUUUUUUUCUGCCUGUUUUAAGUCUUUUUUUAGUUUUUUUAGUUUUUUAAAGUUUUUUUAGAAAAUACUAUUCUUUUCUUCUUUUUUAGUUUUCUUUAGUUUUAUCCUGCCUGUUUUUAAGUUUUUUUUUAGUUUUUUUUUUCUUUUUUUAUUAUUUAUAUAUAUAUAGGUUGUUCUUUUCUGAAAUACUUUUCCUUCUGUUUUUUUAUUUUGUUUAUACUAUCCUUUCUCUUUUUUAGUUUUCUUCAGUUUUUUUCUGCCUGUUUUAAUUUUUUUUGUUUUUUCUAUAUAUUUAGGGUGUUUUUUCUGAUAUACUUUUCUUUCUGUUUUUUUAAUUUUGUUUAUACUAUCCUUUCUCUUUUUUUAGUUUUCUUUAGUUUUUUGUCUGCCUGUUUUAAGUUUUUUUUAAGGUUUUUUUCAGUUUUUUGUUAUUUAUAUAUAUAUAUAGGUUGUUCUUUUCUGAAAUACUUUUCCUUCUUUUUUUUAUUUUGUUUAUACUAUCCUUUCUCCUUUUUAGUUUUCUUUAGUUUUUGUCUGCCUGUUUUAAGUUUUUUUUUUAGUUUUUUGAAGUUUUUUUUAGAAAUACUAAUCUUUUUAUUAGUUUUCUUUAGUUUUUUUCUGCCUGUUUUAAUUGUUUUGUUUUUUGUUUCCUUUAGUUUUUUUUUCUUCAGUUUUUUUUACCUAUUUUUUUGCCUGGCACCUCUUUCUUGAUGAGCUACUCUUAGUCUGGUCCCUCCCCCAGGACCUGCUGCCUUGGGUAACCUUUCAGAGGCAUAAAGCCCUGACAACAUAGCUCCUGGGAUCAUUGGGACACACAAACCCCUCCACCACGGUAAGGUGGUAGCUCAAGGAGGGGAAAAAACCCUCACAUGGGAGGGAAAAACCGCAAGGGUUUUUUUUUCUGUGCAAAACACCCGGUUUAGGGUGGGUUUUUGUUCUUUUUUUUCAGAAAUACUUUUCAUUUCUUUAGUUUCCUAUAGUUCUUUUUUAUUUUUCUGCCUGUUUUAAGUUUUUUUUUCAGAAAUACUGUGAUGUUUCUUUUUUUUUUAGUUUUUUUUUAUGAAUACUAUUCUUUUUCUCAGUUUUCUUUAGUUUUUUUUGUCAUUUAUAAAUAUUAAGGGUUUUCCUUUCUGAAAUACUUUUCCUUCUGUUUUUUUAUUUUGUUUAUACUAUCCUUUCUCUUUUUUAGUUUUCUUUAGUAUUUUCUACCUGUUUUAAGUUUUUUUUUUGUUUUUUUUGUUUUUUCUAUAUAUUUAGGGUGUUUUUUUCUGAAAUACUUUUCCUUCUGUUUUUUUUAUUUUGUUUAUACUAUCCUUUCUCUUUUUUAGUUUUCUUUAGUUUUUUUCUGCCUGUUUUAAGUUUUUUUUGUUUUUUCUAUAUAUUUAGGGUGUUUUAUCAGAAAUACUUUUCCUUCUGUUUUUUUUAUUUUGUUUAUACUAUCCUUUCUCUUUUUUAGUUUUCUUUAGUUUUUUUCUGCCUGUUUUAAGUUUUUUUUAGUUUUUUUAGUUUUUUAGUUUUUUCUAUAUAUUUAGGGUGUUUUUUCUGAAAUACUUUUCCUUCUGUUUUUUUUAUUUUUUUUAUACUAUCCUUUCUCUUUCUUUAAUUUUCUUUAGUUUUUUGUCUGCCUGUUUUAAGUGUUUUUUUUUAUUUUUUAAAGUUUUUUUUUAGAAAUACUAUUCUUUUUCUUCUUUUUUUAGUUUUCUUUAGUUUUAUUCUGCCUGUUUUUAAGGGUUUUUUUAGGUUUUUUUCAGUUUUUUGUUAUUUAUAUAUAUAAACAACCUGUUUUAAGGUUGUUUUUUAGUUUUUUUCUUGUUGUUAUUUAUAUAUAUUAAGGGUGUUCUUUUCUGAAAUACUUUUCCUUCUUUUUUUUCAUUUUGUUUAUAAUAUCCUUUCUCUUUUUUAGUUUUCUUUAGUUUUUUUCUGCCUGUUUUAAGUUUUUUUUUUUUUUUUUUUUCUAUAUAUUUAGGGUGUUUUUUUUCUCAAAUACUAUUCUUUUUCUCCUUUUUUUAGUUUUCUUUAGUUUUAUUCUGCCUGUUUUUAAGGUUUUUUUUUAGUUUUUUUUCAGUUUUUUGUUAUUUAUAUACACUCACUGGCCACUUUAUUAGGUACACCUGUCCAACUGCUCGUUAACACUUAAUUUCUAAUCAGCCAAUCACAUGGCGGCAACUUAGUGCAUUUAGGCAUGUAGACAUGGUCAAGACAAUCUCCUGCAGUUCAAACCGAGCAUCAGUAUGGGGAAGAAAGGUGAUUUGAGUGACUUUGAACGUGGCAUGGUUGUUAGUGCCAGAAGGGCUGGUCUGAGUAUUUCAGAAACUGCUGAUCUACUGGGAUUUUCACGCACAACCAUCUCUAGGGUUUACAGAGAAUGGUCCGAAAAAGAAAAAAUAUCCAGUGAGCGGCAGUUCUGUGGGCGGAAAUGCCUUGUUGAUGCCAGAGGUCAGAGGAGAAUGGCCAGACUGGUUUGAGCUGAUAGAAAGGCAACAGUGACUCAAAUAACCACCCGUUACAACCAAGGUAGGCAGAAGAGCAUCUCUGAACGCACAGUACAUCGAACUUUGAGGCAGAUGGGCUACAGCAGCAGAAGACCACGCCAGGUGCCACUCCUUUCAGCUAAGAACAGGAAACUGAGGCUACAAUUUGCACAAGCUCAUCGAAAUUGGACAAUGAAGAUUGGAAAAACGUUGCCUGGUCUGAUGAGUCUCGAUUUCUGCUGCGACAUUCGGAUGGUAGGGUCAGAAUUUGGCGUCAACAACAUGAAAGCAUGGAUCCAUCCUGCCUUGUAUCAACAGUUCUGGCUGGUGGUGGUGGUGUCAUGGUGUGGGGAAUAUUUUCUUGGCACUCUUUGGGCCCCUUGGUACCAAUUGAGCAUCGUUGCAACGCCACAGCCUACCUGAGUAUUGUUGCUGACCAUGUCCAUCCCUUUAUGACCACAAUGUACCCAACUUCUGAUGGCUACUUUCAGCAGGAUAAUGCGCCAUGUCAUAAAGCUGGAAUCAUCUCAGACUGGUUUCUUGAACAUGACAAUGAGUUCACUGUACUCAAAUGGCCUCCACAGUCACCAGAUCUCAAUCCAAUAGAGCAUCUUUGGGAUGUGGUGGAGCGGGAGAUUCGCAUCAUGGAUGUGCAGCCGACAAAUCUGCGGCAACUGUGUGAUGCCAUCAUGUCAAUAUGGACCAAGCUCUCUGAGGAAUGCUUCCAGCACCUUGUUGAAUCUAUGCCACGAAGAAUUGAGGCAGUUCUGAAGGCAAAAGGGGGUCCAACCCGUUACUAGCAUGGUGUACCUAAUAAAGUGGCCGGUGAGUGUAUAUAUAUAGGUUGUUCUUUUCUGAAAUACUUUUCCUUGUGUUUUUUUAUUUUGUUUAUACUAUCCUUUCUAUCCUUCUAUCCUUUAUCCUAUCCUUUCUUAUAGUUUUUUUAGUUCUUUUUGUUAUAUAUAUUUAGGGUGUUUUUUUUCAGAAAUACUUUUCCUUCUGUUUUUUUAUUUUGUUUACACUAUCCUUUCUCUUCUUUUUAGUUUACUUUAGUUUUUUUCUGCCUGUUUUAAGUUUUUUUUUUAGUUUUUUAAAGUUUUUUUUAGAAAUACUAUUCUUUUUCUUCUUUUUUUAGUUUUCUUUAGUUUUAUUCUGCCUGUUUUUAAGGGGUUUUUUCAGGUUUUUUUCAGUUUUUUUGAAGUUUUUUUAGAAAUACUAAUCUUCUUGUUUUUAUUAGUUUUCUUUAGUUUUAUUCUGCCUGUUUUAAGUUUUUUUUUUUUUCUAUAUAUUUGGGGUGUUUUUUCUGAUAUACCUUUCUUUCUGUUUUUUUAAUUUUGUUUAUACUAUCCUUUCUCUUUUUUUAAUUUUCUUUAGUUUUUUGUCUGCCUGUUUUAAGUUUUUUGUAUUAGUUUUUUGAGUUCUUUUUGUUUUUUAUAAUUAGGGUGUUUUUUUCAGAAAUACUUUUCCUUCUGUUUUUUUUUAUUUUGUUUACACUAUCCUUUCUCCUCUUUUUAGUUUACUUUAGUUUUUUUCUGCCUGUUUUAAGUUUUUUUUUUAGUUUUUUAAAGUUUUUUUAGAAAUACUAUUCUUUUUCUUCUUUUUUUAGUUUUCUUUAGUUUUAUUCUGCCUGUUUUUAAGGGUUUUUUUCAGGUUUUUUUCAGUUUUUUUGUUAUUUAUAUAUAUAUAGGUUGUUCUUUUCUGAAAUACUUUUCCUUCUGUUUUUUUAUUUUGUUUAUACUAUCCUUUCUAUCCUUCUAUCCUUUAUCCUAUCCUUUCUUUUGUUUUUUUUAAUUCUAUUUGUUAUAUAUAUUUAGGGUGUUUUUUUUCAGAAAUACUUUUCCUUCUGUUUUUUAAAUUUUGUAUACACUAUCCUUUCUCCUUUUUUUAGUUUACUUUAGUUUUUUUCUGCCUGUUUUAAGUUUUUUUUAGUUUUUUUAGUUUUUUAAAGUUUUUUUAGAAAAUACUAUUCUUUUUCUUCUUUUUUAGUUUUCUUUAGUUUUAUCCUGCCUGUUUUUAAGUUUUUUUUUUAGUUUUUUUUUUCUUUUUUUAUUAUUUAUAUAUAUAUAGGUUGUUCUUUUCUGAAAUACUUUUCCUUCUGUUUUUUUAUUUUGUUUAUACUAUCCUUUCUCUUUUUUAGUUUUCUUCAGUUUUUUUCUGCCUGUUUUAAUUUUUUUUUGUUUUUUCUAUAUAUUUAGGGUGUUUUUUCUGAUAUACUUUUCUUUCUGUUUUUUUAAUUUUGUUUAUACUAUCCUUUCUCUUUUUUUAGUUUUCUUUAGUUUUUUGUCUGCCUGUUUUAAGUUUUUUUUAUUAGUUUUUUUAGUUCUUUUUGUUAUAUAUAUUUAGGGUGUUUUUUUUUCGGAAAUAGUUUUCCUUCUGUUUUUUUAUUUUGUUUACACUAUCCUUUCUCCUCUUUUUAGUUCACUUUAGUUUUUUUCUGCCUGUUUUAAGUUUUUUUUUUAGUUUUUUUUAGUUUUUUAAAGUUUUUUUUAGAAAUACUAUUCUUUUUUUUCUUUUUUUAGUUUUCUUUAGUUUUAUUCUGCCUGUUUUUAAGGUUUUUUUUAAGGUUUUUUUCAGUUUUUUGUUAUUUAUAUAUAUAUAUAGGUUGUUUUUUUCUGAAAUACUUUUCCUUCUUUUUUUUAUUUUGUUUAUACUAUCCUUUCUCCUUUUUAGUUUUCUUUAGUUUUUGUCUGCCUGUUAUAAGUUUUUUUUUAGUUUUUUGAAGUUUUUUUUAGAAAUACUAAUCUUCUUUUUAUUAGUUUUCUUUAGUUUUUUUCUGCCUGUUUUAAUUGUUUUGUUUUUUGUUUCCUUUAGUUUUUUUUUCUUCAGUUUUUUUUCCUAUUUUUUUGCCUGGCACCUCUUUCUUGAUGAGCUACUCUUAGUCUGGUCCCUCCCCCAGGACCUGCUGCCUUGGGUAACCUUUCAGAGGCAUAAAGCCCUGACAACAUAGCUCCUGGGAUCAUUGGGACACACAAACCCCUCCACCACGGUAAGGUGGUAGCUCAAGGAGGGGAAAAAACCCUCACAUGGGAGGGAAAAACCGCAAGGGUUUUUUUUUCUGUGCAAAACACCCGGUUUAGGGUGGGUUUUUGUUCUUUUUUUUCGGAAAUACUUUUCAUUUCUUUAGUUUCCUAUAGUUCUUUUUUAUUUUUCUGCCUGUUUUAAGUUUUUUUUCAGAAAUACUGUGAUGUUUCUUUUUUUUUUUUAGUUUUUUUUUUUACGAAUACUAUUCUUUUUCUCAGUUUUCUUUAGUUUUUUUUGUCAUUUAUAAAUAUUAAGGGUUUUCCUUUCUGAAAUACUUUUCCUUCUGUUUUUUUAUUUUGUUUAUACUAUCCUUUCUCUUUUUUAGUUUUCUUUAGUAUUUUCUACCUGUUUUAAGUUUUUUUUUUUUUUUUUUUUUUUUCUAUAUAUUUAGGGUGUUUUUUUCUGAAAUACUUUUCCUUCUGUUUUGUUUUAUUUUGUUUAUACAAUCCUUUCUCUUUUUUAGUUUUCUUUAGUUUUUUUCUGCCUGUUUUAAGUUUUUUUUUUAGUUUUUUUUUGUUUUUUUUCUAUAUAUUUAGGGUGUUUUUUCUGAUAUACUUUUCUUUCUGUUUUUUUUAAUAUUGUUUAUACUAUCAUUUCUCUUUAUUUAGUUUUCUUUAGUUUUUUGUCUGCCUGUUUUAAGAUGUUUUUAUUAGUUUUUUUAGUUCUUUUUGUUAUAUAUAUUUAGGGUGUUUUUUUUCAGAAAUAGUUUUCCUUCUGUUUUUUUUUAUUUUGUUUACACUGUCCUUUCUCUUUUUUUUUAAUUUUCUUUAGUUUUUUGUCUGCCUGUUUUUAGUUUUUUUUUUUAGUUUUUUUUUUAGUUCUUUUUGUAAUAUAUUUAGGGUGUUUUAUCAGAAAUACUUUUCCUUCUGUUUUUUUAUUUUGUUUAUAAUAUCCUUUCUCCUUUUUUAGUUUACUUUAGUUUUUUCUGCCUGUUUUAAGUUUUUUUUUUAGAUUUUUUUUAGUUUUUUAAAGUUUGUUUUAGAAAUACUAUUCUUUUUCUUCUUUUUUUAGGUUUCUUUAGUUUUUUUCUGCCUGUUUUAAGGUUGUUUUUUAGUUUUUUUUUCUUGUUGUUAUUUAUAUAUAUAUAGGUUGUUCUUUUCUGAAAUACUUUUCCUUCUGUUUUUUUUAUUUUGUUUAUACUAUCCUUUCUCUUUUUUAGUUUUCUUUAGUUUUUUUCUGCCUGUUUUAAGUUUUUUUUGUUUUUUCUAUAUAUUUAGGGUGUUUUUUUUCUCAAAUACUUUUCCUUCUGUUUUUUUUAUUUUGUUUACACUAUCCUUUCUCUUUUUUUAAUUUUCUUUAGUUUUUUGUCUGCCUGUUUUUAGUUUUUUUUUUUUUAGUUUUUUUUAGUUCUUUUUGUAAUAUAUUUAGGGUGUUUUAUCAGAAAUACUUUUCCUUCUGUUUUUUUUAUUUUGUUUAUACUAUCCUUUCUCUUUUUUAGUUUUCUUUAGUUUUUUUCUGCCUGUUUUAAGUUUUUUUUAGUUUUUUUAGUUUUUUAGUUUUUUCUAUAUAUUUAGGGUGUUUUUUUCUGAAAUACUUUUCCUUCUGUUUUUUUUAUUUUGUUUAUACUAUCCUUUCUCUUUCUUUAAUUUUCUUUAGUUUUUUGUCUGCCUGUUUUAAGUGUUUUUUUUUAGUUUUUUAAAGUUUUUUUUUAGAAAUACUAUUCUUUUUCUUCUUUUUUUAGUUUUCUUUAGUUUUAUUCUGCCUGUUUUUAAGGGUUUUUUUAGGUUUUUUUCAGUUUUUUGUUAUUUAUAUAUAUAAACAACCUGUUUUAAGGUUGUUUUUUAGUUUUUUUCUUGUUGUUAUUUAUAUAUAUUAAGGGUGUUCUUUUCUGAAAUACUUUUCCUUCUUUUUUUUCAUUUUGUUUAUAAUAUCCUUUCUCUUUUUUAGUUUUCUUUAGUUUUUUUCUCCCUGUUUUAAGUUUUUUUUUUUUUUUUUUUUUUUCUAUAUAUUUAGGGUGUUUUUUUUCUCAAAUACUAUUCUUUUUCUCCUUUUUUUUAGUUUUCUUUAGUUUUAUUCUGCCUGUUUUUAAGGUUUUUUUUUAGUUUUUUUUCAGUUUUUUGUUAUUUAUAUACACUCACUGGCCACUUUAUUAGGUACACCUGUCCAACUGCUCGUUAACACUUAAUUUCUAAUCAGCCAAUCACAUGGCGGCAACUUAGUGCAUUUAGGCAUGUAGACAUGGUCAAGACAAUCUCCUGCAGUUCAAACCGAGCAUCAGUAUGGGGAAGAAAGGUGAUUUGAGUGACUUUGAACGUGGCAUGGUUGUUAGUGCCAGAAGGGCUGGUCUGAGUAUUUCAGAAACUGCUGAUCUACUGGGAUUUUCACGCACAACCAUCUCUAGGGUUUACAGAGAAUGGUCCGAAAAAGAAAAAAUAUCCAGUGAGCGGCAGUUCUGUGGGCGGAAAUGCCUUGUUGAUGCCAGAGGUCAGAGGAGAAUGGCCAGACUGGUUUGAGCUGAUAGAAAGGCAACAGUGACUCAAAUAACCACCCGUUACAACCAAGGUAGGCAGAAGAGCAUCUCUGAACGCACAGUACAUCGAACUUUGAGGCAGAUGGGCUACAGCAGCAGAAGACCACGCCAGGUGCCACUCCUUUCAGCUAAGAACAGGAAACUGAGGCUACAAUUUGCACAAGCUCAUCGAAAUUGGACAAUGAAGAUUGGAAAAACGUUGCCUGGUCUGAUGAGUCUCGAUUUCUGCUACGACAUUCGGAUGGUAGGGUCAGAAUUUGGCGUCAACAACAUGAAAGCAUGGAUCCAUCCUGCCUUGUAUCAACAGUUCUGGCUGGUGGUGGUGGUGUCAUGGUGUGGGGAAUAUUUUCUUGGCACUCUUUGGGCCCCUUGGUACCAAUUGAGCAUCGUUGCAACGCCACAGCCUACCUGAGUAUUGUUGCUGACCAUGUCCAUCCCUUUAUGACCACAAUGUACCCAACUUCUGAUGGCUACUUUCAGCAGGAUAAUGCGCCAUGUCAUAAAGCUGGAAUCAUCUCAGACUGGUUUCUUGAACAUGACAAUGAGUUCACUGUACUCAAAUGGCCUCCACAGUCACCAGAUCUCAAUCCAAUAGAGCAUCUUUGGGAUGUGGUGGAGCGGGAGAUUCGCAUCAUGGAUGUGCAGCCGACAAAUCUGCGGCAACUGUGUGAUGCCAUCAUGUCAAUAUGGACCAAGCUCUCUGAGGAAUGCUUCCAGCACCUUGUUGAAUCUAUGCCACGAAGAAUUGAGGCAGUUCUGAAGGCAAAAGGGGGUCCAACCCGUUACUAGCAUGGUGUACCUAAUAAAGUGGCCGGUGAGUGUAUAUAUAUAGGUUGUUCUUUUCUGAAAUACUUUUCCUUGUGUUUUUUUAUUUUGUUUAUACUAUCCUUUCUAUCCUUCUAUCCUUUAUCCUAUCCUUUCUUUUAGUUUUUUUAGUUCUUUUUGUUAUAUAUAUUUAGGGUGUUUUUUUUCAGAAAUACUUUUCCUUCUGUUUUUUUAAUUUUGUUUACACUAUCCUUUCUCCUUUUUUUGGUUAACUUUAGUUUUUUUCUGCCUGUUUUAAGGUUGUUUUUUAGUUUUUUUUAGUUUUUUAAAGUUUUUUUUUUAGAAAUACUAUCCUUUUCUUCUUUUUUAAUUUUCUUUAGUUUUAUUCUUCCUGUUUUUAAGUUUUUUUUAGUUUUUUUUUAGUUUUUUGUUAUUUAUAUAUAUAGGUUGUUCUUUUCUGAAAUACUUUUCCUUCUGUUUUUUUUAUUUUGUUUAUACUAUCCUUUCUCUUUUUUUUAGUUUUCUUUAGUUUUUUUUCUGCCUGUUUUAAUUUUUUAUUAGAAAAACUAUUCUUUUUCUUCUUUUUUAGUUUUCUUUAGUUUUUUUCUGCAUGUUUAAAGUUGUUUUUUAGUUUUUUUUUGUUAUUUAUAAAUAUUAAGGGUUUUCCUUUCUAAAAUACUUUUCCUUCUGUUUUUUUAUUUUGUUUAUACCAUCCUUUCUCUUUUUUAGUUUUCUUUAGUUUUUUUCUGCCUGUUUUAAGUUUUUUUUUAGUUUUUUUAGUUUUUUAGUUUUUUCUAUAUAUUUAGGGUGUUUUUUCUGAAAUACUUUUCCUUCUGUUUUUUUUAUUUUGUUUAUACUAUCCUUUCUCUUUCUUUAAUUUUCUUUAGUUUUUUGUCUGCCUGUUUUAAGUGGUUUUUUUUAGGUUUUUUUAGUUACUUUUGUAAUAUAUUUAGGGUGUUUUAUCAGAAAUACUUCUGUUUUUUUUAUUUUGUUUAUAAUAUCCUUUCUCCUUUUUUAGUUUACUUUAGUUUUUUCUGCCUGUUUUAAUUUUAUUUUUUAGUUUUUUUUUGUUCUUUUUGUAAUAUAUUUAGGGUGUUUUUUCAGAAAUACUGUUCCUUCUGUUUUUUUUAGUUUUUGUCUGCCUGUUCUAAGUUUUUUUUUAGUUUUUUUUAGUUUUUUUUAGAAAUAAUAAUCUUCUUUUUAUUAGUUUUCUUUAGUUUUUUUCUGCCUGUUUUAAUUUUUCUGUUUUUUGUUUUCUUUAGUUUUUUUUCUUCAGUUUUUUUUUCCUAUUUUUUUGCCUGGCACCUCUGUCUGGAUGAGCUACUCUUAGUCUGGUCCCUCCCCCAGGACCUGUUUGCCUUGGGUAACCUUUCAGAGGCAUAAAGCCCUGACAACAUAGCUCCUGGGAUCAUUGGGACACACAAACCCCUCCACCACGGUAAGGUGGUAGCUCAAGGAGGGGAAAAAACCCUCACAUGGGAGGGAAAAACCGCAAGGGUUUUUUUUUCUGUCCAAAACAACCGGUUUAGGGUGGGUUUUUGUUCUUUUUUUUCAGAAAUACUUUUAUUUUCUUUAGUUUCCUAUAGUUCUUUUUUAUUUUUCUGCCUGUUUUAAGUUUUUUUUUUCAGAAAUACUGUGAUUUUACUUUUUUUUUUUACUUUUUUUUUUUUUACAAAUACUAUUCUUUUUCUUUGUUUUCUUUAGUUUUUUUCUGCAUGUUUAAAGUUUUUUUUUGUUUUUUUUGUUAUUUAUAAAUAUAAAGGGUUUUCCUUUCUAAAAUACUUUUCCUUCUGUUUUUUUUAUUUUGUUUAUACUAUCCUUUCUCUUUUUUAGUUUUCUUUAGUUUUUUUCUACCUGUUUUAAGUUUUUUUUGUUUGUCUUUUUUGUUUUUUCUAUAUAUUUAGGGUCUUUUUUUCUGAAAUACUUUUCCCUCUGUUUUUUUAUUUUGUUUAUACUAUCCUUUCUAUUUUUUAGUUUUCUUUAGUUUUUUUCUGCCUGUUUUAAGUUUUUUUUUUUUUUUUUUUAUAUAUAUUUGGGGUAUUUUUUCUGAUAUACUUUUCUUUCUGUUUUUUCAAUUUUGUUUAUACUAUCCUUUCUCUUUUUUUAGUUUUCUCUAGUUUUUUUCUGCCUGUUUUAAGUUUUUUUAUUAGUUUUUUUAGUUUUUUUCUGUUAUAUAUAAUUAGGGUGGUUUUUUUUCAGAAAUUCUUUUCCUUCUGUUUUUUUAUUUUGUUUACACUAUCCUUUCUCCUCUUUUUAGUUUACUUUAGUUUUUUCUGCCUGUUUUAAGUUUUUUUUUAGUUUUUAAAAGUUUUUUUUAGAAAUACUAUUCUUUUUCUUCUUUUUUUAGUUUUCUUUAGUUUUAUUCUGCCUGUUUUUAAGGGUUUUUUUAGUUUUUUUUCAGUUUUUUUGUUAUUUAUAUAUAUAUAUAGGUUGUUCUUUUCUGAAAUACUUUUCCUUCUGUUUUUUUUUUAUUUUGUUUAUACCAUCCUUUCUAUCCUUUAUUUCUUUAGUUUUUUUCUGCCUGUUUUAAGUUUUUUUUUUUUUUUUUUUUUUUUUUUUCUAUAUAUUUGGGGUGUUUUUUCUGAUAUACUUUUCUUUCUGUUUUUUCAAUUUUGUUUAUACUAUCCUUUCUCUUUUUUUAGUUUUCUCUAGUUUUUUUUCUGCCUGUUUUAAGUUUUUUUAUUAGUUUUUUUAGUUUUUUUCUGUUAUAUAUAAUUAGGGUGUUUUUUUUUUCAGAAAUUCUUUUCCUUCUGUUUUUUAUUUUGUUUACACUAUCCUUUCUCCUCUUUUUAGUUUACUUUAGUUUUUUCUGCCUGUUUUAAGUUUUUUUUUAGUUUUUAAAAGUUUUUUUUAGAAAUACUAUUCUUUUUCUUCUUUUUUUAGUUUUCUUUAGUUUUAUUCUGCCUGUUUUUAAGGGUUUUUUUUAGUUUUUUUUUCAGUUUUUUUGUUAUUUAUAUAUAUAUAUAGGUUGUUCUUUUCUGAAAUACUUUUCCUUCUGUUUUUUUUUUUUAUUUUGUUUAUACCAUCCUUUCUAUCCUUUAUCCUAUCCUUUCUUUUAGUUUUUUUAGUUCUUUUUGUUAUAUAUAUUUAGGGUGUUUUUUUUCAGAAAUAUUUUUCCUUCUGUUUUUUUAAUUUUGUUUACACUAUCCUUUCUCCUUUUUUUAGUUUACUUUAGUUUUUUCUGCCUGUUUUAAGUUUUUUUUUAUUUUUUUAACGUUUUUUUAGAAAUACUAUUCUUUUUCUUCUUUUUUAGUUUACUUUAGUUUUAUUCUGCCUGUUUGUAAGUGUUUUUUUAAGUUUUUUUUGUUUUUUUGUUAUUUAUAUAUAUAUAUGUUGUUCUUUUCUGAAAUACUUUUCCUUCUGUUUUUUAUUUUGUUUAUACUAGCCUUUCUCUUUUUUUUAGUUUUCUUUAGUUUUUUUUCUGCCUGUUUUAAUUUUUUUUUUUUUUUUUUUGUUUUUUCUAUAUAUUUAGGGUGCUUUUUUCUGAUAUACUUUUCUUUCUGUUUUUUUUUAUUUUGUUUUAACUAUCCUUUCUCUUUUGUAGUUUUCUUCAUUUUUUUCUUCAUGUUUUAAUUUUUUUUUUAGUUUUUUCUAUAUAUUUAGGGUGUUUUUUUCUGAAAUACUUUUCCUUCUGUUUUUUUUAUUUUGUUUAUACUAUCCUUUCUCUUUUUUUAAUUUUCUUUAGUUUUUUGUCUGCCUGUUUUAAGUUUUUCUUUUAGUUUUUUUAGUUAUUUUUGUAAUAUAUUAAGGGUGUUUUAUCAGAAAUACUUUUCCUUCUUUUUUUUAUUUUGUUUAUAAUAUCCUUUCUCCUUUUUUAGUUUACUUUAGAUUUUUCUGCCUGUUUUAAGUUUUUUUAAAGUUUUUUUUAGUUCUUUUUGUAAUAUAUUUAGGGUGUUUUUUCAGAAAUACUGUUCCUUCUGUUUUUUUUAGUUUUUGUCUGCCUGUUCUAAGUUUUUUUUUAGUUUUUUGAAGUUUUUUUUAGAAAUAAUAAUCUUCUUUUUAUUAUUUUUCUUUAGUUUUUUUCUGCCUGUUUUAAUUUUUCUGUUUUUUGUUUUCUUUAGUUUUUUUUCUUCAGUUUUUUUUUCCUAUUUUUUUGCCUGGCACCUCUGUCUGGAUGAGCUACUCUUAGUCUGGUCCCUCCCCCAGGACCUGUUUGCCUUGGGUAACCUUUCAGAGGCAUAAAGCCCUGACAACAUAGCUCCUGGGAUCAUUGGGACACACAAACCCCUCCACCACGGUAAGGUGGUAGCUCAAGGAGGGGAAAAAACCCUCACAUGGGAGGGAAAAACCCGAGGGUUUUUUUUUCUGUCCAAAACAACCGGUUUAGGGUGGGUUUUUGUUCUUUUUUUUCAGAAAUACUUUUCAUUUCUUUAGUUUCCUAUAGUUCUUUUUUAUUUUUCUGCCUGUUUUAAGUUUUUUUUUUCAGAAAUACUGUGAUUUUACUUUUUUUUUUACUUUUUUUUUUUUACAAAUACUAUUCUUUUUCUUUGUUUUCUUUAGUUUUUUUCUGCAUGUUUAAAGUUUUUUUUUGUUUUUUUUGUUAUUUAUAAAUAUAAAGGGUUUUCCUUUCUAAAAUACUUUUCCUUCUGUUUUUUUUAUUUUGUUUAUACUAUCCUUUCUCUUUUUUAGUUUUCUUUAGUUUUUUUCUACCUGUUUUAAGUUUUUUUUGUUUGUCUUUUUUGUUUUUUCUAUAUAUUUAGGGUCUUUUUUUCUGAAAUACUUUUCCCUCUGUUUUUUUAUUUUGUUUAUACUAUCCUGUCUAUUUUUUAGUUUUCUUUAGUUUUUUUCUGCCUGUUUUAAGUUUUUUUUUUUUUUUUUUUCUAUAUAUUUGGGGUAUUUUUUCUGAUAUACUUUUCUUUCUGUUUUUUCAAUUUUGUUUAUACUAUCCUUUCUCUUUUUUUAGUUUUCUCUAGUUUUUUUCUGCCUGUUUUAAGUUUUUUUAUUAGUUUUUUUAGUUUUUUUCUGUUAUAUAUAAUUAGGGUGGUUUUUUUUCAGAAAUUCUUUUCCUUCUGUUUUUUUAUUUUGUUUACACUAUCCUUUCUCCUCUUUUUAGUUUACUUUAGUUUUUUUCUGCCUGUUUUAAGUUUUUUUUUUAGUUUUUAAAAGUUUUUUUUAGAAAUACUAUUCUUUUUUUUCUUUUUUUAGUUUUCUUUAGUUUUAUUCUGCCUGUUGUUAAGGUUUUUUUUUAGGUUUUUUUCAGUUUUUUUGUUAUUUAUAUAUAUAUAUAGGUUGUUCUUUUCUGAAAUACUUUUCCUUCUGUUUUUUUUUUAUUUUGUUUAUACCAUCCUUUCUAUCCUUUAUUUCUUUAGUUUUUUUCUGCCUGUUUUAAGUUUUUGUUUUUUUGUUUUUUUGUUUUUUCUAUAUAUUUCGGGUGUUUUUUCUGAUAUACUUUUCUUUCUGUUUUUUCAAUUUUGUUUAUACUAUCCUUUCUCUUUUUUUAGUUUUCUCUAGUUUUUUUUCUGCCUGUUUUAAGUUUUUUUAUUAGUUUUUUUAGUUUUUUUCUGUUAUAUAUAAUUAGGGUGUUUUUUUUUCAGAAAUUCUUUUCCUUCUGUUUUUUUAUUUUGUUUACACUAUCCUUUCUCCUCUUUUUAGUUUACUUUAGUUUUUUCUGCCUGUUUUAAGUUUUUUUUUAGUUUUUUAAAGUUUUUUUUAGAAAUACUAUUCUUUUUCUUCUUUUUUUAGUUUUCUUUAGUUUUAUUCUGCCUGUUUUUAAGGGUUUUUUUUAGUUUUUUUUUCAGUUUUUUUGUUAUUUAUAUAUAUAUAUAGGUUUUUCUUUUCUGAAAUACUUUUCCUUCUGUUUUUUUUUUUUAUUUUGUUUAUACCAUCCUUUCUAUCCUUUAUCCUAUCCUUUCUUUUAGUUUUUUUAGUUCUUUUUGUUAUAUAUAUUUAGGGUGUUUUUUUUCAGAAAUACUUUUCCUUCUGUUUUUUUAAUUUUGUUUACACUAUCCUUUCUCCUUUUUUUAGUUUACUUUAGUUUUUUCUGCCUGUUUUAAGUUUUUUUUAUUUUUUUAACGUUUUUUUAGAAAUACUAUUCUUUUUCUUCUUUUUUAGUUUUCUUUAGUUUUAUUCUGCCUGUUUUUAAGUUUUUUUUAAGUUUUUUUUUGUUAUUUAUAUAUAUAUAUAUAUAGGUUGUUCUUUUCUGAAAUACUUUUCCUUCUGUUUUUUAUUUUGUUUAUACUAUCCUUUCUCUUUUUUUUAGUUUUCUUUAGUUUUUUUUCUGCCUGUUUUAAUUUUUUUUUGUUUUUUUUUUGUUUUUUCUAUAUAUUUAGGGUGUUUUUUUCUGAUAUACUUUUCUUUCUGUUUUUUUUUAUUUUGUUUUAACUAUCCUUUCUCUUUUGUAGUUUUCUUCAUUUUUUUCUUCAUGUUUUAAUUUUUUUUUUAGUUUUUUCUAUAUAUUUAGGGUGUUUUUUUCUGAAAUACUUUUCCUUCUGUUUUUUUUAUUUUGUUUAUACUUUCCUUUCUCUUUUUUUAAUUUUCUUUAGUUUUUUGUCUGCCUGUUUUAAGUUUUUCUUUUAGUUUUUUUAGUUAUUUUUGUAAUAUAUUAAGGGUGUUUUAUCAGAAAUACUUUUCCUUCUUUUUUUUAUUUUGUUUAUAAUAUCCUUUCUCCUUUUUUAGUUUACUUUAGAUUUUUCUGCCUGUUUUAAGUUUUUUAAAAGUUUUUUUUAGUUCUUUUUGUAAUAUAUUUAGGGUGUUUUUUCAGAAAUACUUUUCCUUCUGUUUUUUAAUUUUGUUUAUACUAUUUUUAGUUUUCUUUAGUUUUUUUCUGCCUGUUUAAAGUUUUUUUUUUGUUUUUUUUUAGUUUUUUUUUAUUUAUAAAUAUAUUUAGGGUGUUUUUUUCAGAUAUACUUUUCCUUCUGUUUUUUUAUUUUGUUUAUACCAUCCUUUCUAUUUUUUAGUUUUCUUUAGUUUUUUUCUGCCUGUUUUAAGUUUUGUUUUGUUUUUUUAGUUUUUUUUUGUUUUUUCUAUAUAUUUAGGGUGUUUUUUCUGAAAUACUUUUCCUUCUGUUUUUUUUUAUUUUGUUUACACUAUCCUUUCUCCUUUUUUAGUUUACUUUAGUUUUUUUCUGCCUGUUAAGUUUUUUUUUAGAUUUUUUUUAGUUUUUUAAAGUUUUUUUUAGAAAUACUAUUCUUUUUCUUCUUUUUUUAGUUUUCUUUAGUUUUUUUCUGCCUGUUUUAAGUUUUUUUUAGUUUUUUGUUAUUUAUAUAUAUUAAGGGUGUUCUUUUCUGAAAUACUUUUCCUUAUGUUUUUUAUUUUGUUUAUACUAUCCUUUCUCUUUUUUUAGUUUUCUUUAGUUUUUUUUCUGCCUGUUUUAAUUUUUUUUUGUUUUUUUUUUCUUUUUUUCUAUAUAUUUAGGGUGUUUUUUUCUGAUAUACUUUUCUUUCUGUUUUUUUUUAUUUUGUUUUAACUAUCCUUUCUCUUUUGUAGUUUUCUUCAUUUUUUUCUUCAUGUUUUAAUUUUUUUUUUUAGUUUUUUCUAUAUAUUUAGGGUGUUUUUUUCUGAAAUACUUUUCCUUCUGUUUUUUUAUUUUGUUUAUACUAUCCUUUCUCUUUUUUUAAUUUUCUUUAGUGUUUUGUCUGCCUGUUUUAAGUUUUUCUUUUAGUUUUUUAGUUCUUUUUGUAAUAUAUUAAGGGUGUUUUAUCAGAAAUACUUUUCCUUCUUUUUUUUUAUUUUGUUUAUAAUAUCCUUUCUCCUUUUUUUGUUUACUUUAGAUUUUUCUGCCUGUUUUAAGUUUUUUUUAAAGUUUUUUUUAGUUCUUUUUGUAAUAUAUUUAGGGUGUUUUUUCAGAAAUACUUUUCCUUCUGUUUUUUAAUUUUGUUUAUACUAUUUUUAGUUUUCUUUAGUUUUUUUCUGCCUGUUUAAAGUUUUUUUUUUAGUUUUUUUUUAGUUUUUUUUAUUUAUAAAUAUAUUUAGGGUGUGUUUUUCCGAUAUACUUUUCCUUCUGUUUUUUUAUUUUGUUUAUACCAUCCUUUCUAUUUUUUAGUUUUCUUUAGUUUUUUUCUGCCUGUUUUAAGUUUUGUUUUGUUUUUUUAGUUUUUUUUGUUUUUUCUAUAUAUUUAGGGUCUUUUUUUCUGAAAUACUUUUCCCUCUGUUUUUUUAUUUUGUUUAUACUAUCCUUUCUAUUUUUUAGUUUUCUUUAGUUUUUUUCUGCCUGUUUUAAGUUUUUUUUUUUUUUUUUUCUAUAUAUUUGGGGUAUUUUUUCUGAUAUACUUUUCUUUCUGUUUUUUCAAUUUUGUUUAUACUAUCCUUUCUCUUUUUUUAGUUUUCUCUAGUUUUUUUCUGCCUGUUUUAAGUUUUUUUAUUAGUUUUUUUUUAGUUUUUUUUAUUUAUAAAUAUAUUUAGGGUGUGUUUUUCAGAUAUACUUUUCCUUCUGUUUUUUUAUUUUGUUUAUACCAUCCUUUCAAUUUUUUAGUUUUCUUUAGUUUUUUUCUGCCUGUUUUAAGUUUUGUUUUGUUUUUUUAGUUUUUUUUGUUUUUUCUAUAUAUUUAGGGUGUUUUUUCUGAAAUACUUUUCCUUCUGUUUUUUUUAUUUUGUUUACACUAUCCUUUCUCCUUUUUUAGUUUACUUUAGUUUUUUUCUGCCUGUUAAGUUUUUUUUUAGAUUUUUUUUUAGUUUUUUAAAGUUUUUUUAGAAAUACUAUUCUUUUUCUUCUUUUUUUAGUUUUCUUUAGUUUUUGUCUGCCUGUUUUAAGUUUUUUUUAGUUUUUUGUUAUUUAUAUAUAUUAAGGGUGUUCUUUUCUGAAAUACUUUUCCUUCUGUUUUUUUUAUUUUGUUUAUACUAUCCUUUCUCUUUUUUAGUUUUCUUUAGUUUUUGUCUGCCUGUUCUAAGUUUUUUUUUCAGUUUUUUGAAGUUUUUUUGGAAAUACUAAUCUUCUUUUUAUUAGUUUUCUUUAGUUUUUUUCUGCCUGUUUUAAUUUUUCUAUUUUUUGUUUUCUUUAGUUUUUUUUUUCUUCAGUUUUUUUCCCUAUUUUUUUCCCUGGCACCUCUGUCUGGAUGAGCUACUCUUAGUCUGGUCCCUACCCCAGGACCUGCUGCCUUGGGUAACCUUUCAGAGGCAUAAAGCCCUGACAACAUAGCUCCUGGGAUCAUUGGGACACACAAACCCCUCCACCACGGUAAGGUGGUAGCUCAAGGAGGGGAAAAAACCCUCACAUGGGAGGGAAAAACCGCAAGGGUUUUUUUUUCUGUCCAAAACACCCGGUUUAGGGUGGGUUUUUGUUCCUUUUUUUCAGAAAUACUUUUCUUUUCUUUAGUUUCCUAUAGUUCUUUUUUAUUUUUCUGCCUGUUUUAAGUUUUUUUUUUCAGAAAUACUGUGAUUUUACUUUUUUUUUUUUUUUUUACAAAUACUAUUCUUUUUCUUUGUUUUCUUUAGUUUUUUUCUGCAUGUUUAAAGUUUUUUUUUAGUUUUUUUGUUAUUUAUAAAUAUAAAGGGUUUCCCUUUCUAAAAUACUUUUCCUUCUGUUUUUUUUAUUUUGUUUAUACUAUCCUUUCUCUUUUUUAGUUUUCUUUAGUUUUUUUCUACCUGUUUUAAUUUUUUUUUGUUUUUGUUUUUUCUAUAUAUUUAGGGUCUUUUUUUCUGAAAUACUUUUCCCUCUGUUUUUUUAUUUUGUUUAUACUAUCCUUUCUCUUUUUUAGUUUUCUUUAGUUUUUUUCUGCCUGUUUUAAGUUUUUUUGUUGUUUUUUUUUGUUUUUUCUAUAUAUUUGGGGUGUUUUUUCUGAUAUACUUUUCUUUCUGUUUUUUCAAUUUUGUUUAUACUAUCCUUUCUCUUUUUUUAGUUUUCUCUAGUUUUUUUUCUGCCUGUUUUAAGUUUUUUUAUUAGUUUUUUUAGUUUUUUUCUGUUAUAUAUAAUUAGGGUGUUUUUUUUCAGAAAUUCUUUUCCUUCUGUUUUUUUAUUUUGUUUACACUAUCCUUUCUCCUCUUUUUAGUUUUCUUUAGUUUUAUUCUGCCUGUUUGUAAGUGUUUUUUUAAGUUUUUUUUUGUUUUUUUGUUAUUUAUAUAUAUAUAUAGGUUGUUCUUUUCUGAAAUACUUUUCCUACUGUUUUUUAUUUUGUUUAUACUAUCCUUUCUCUUUUUUUUAGUUUUCUUUAGUUUUUUUUCUGCCUGUUUUAAUUUUUUUUUGUUUUUUUUGUUUUUUCUAUAUAUUUAGGGUGUUUUUUCUGAAAUACUUUUCCUUCUGUUUUUUUAAUUAUGUUUACACUAUCCUUUCUCCUUUUUUAGUUUACUUUAGUUUUUUUCUGCCUUUUGUAAGUUUUUUUUAGAUUUUUUUUAGUUUUUUAAAGUUUUUUUUAGAAAUACUAUUCUUUUUCUUCUUUUUUUAGUUUUCUUUAGUUUUUUUCUGCCUGUUUUAAGGUUGUUUUUUAGGUUUUUUUUUCUUGUUGUUAUUUAUAUAUAUUAAGGGUGUUCUUUUCUGAAAUACUUUUCCUUCUGUUUUUUUUAUUUUGUUCAUACUAUCCUUUCUCUUUUUUAGUUUUCUUUAGUUUUUGUCUGACAGUUCUAAGUUUUUUUUUUUAGUUUUUUGAAGUUUUUUUGGAAAUACUAAUCUUCUUUUUAUUAGUUUUCUUUAGUUUUUUUCUGCCUGUUUUAAUUUUUCUAUUUUUUGUUUUCUUUAGUUUUUUUUUUCUUCAGUUUUUUUCCCUAUUUUUUUCCCUGGCACCUCUGUCUGGAUGAGCUACUCUUAGUCUGGUCCCUCCCCCAGGACCUGCUGCCUUGGGUAACCUUUCAGAGGCAUAAAGCCCUGACAACAUAGCUCCUGGGAUCAUUGGGACACACAAACCCCUCCACCACGGUAAGG
rnacentral:lncRNA from 1 species